GCGCCGGCGAUGUUUCAUUUCAAAUUUUCCUGCCCUAUCAACUUUCGACGGUAGGGUAGUGGCCUACCGUGGUGGUAACGGGUAACGGAGGAUUAGGGUUCGAUUCCGGAGAGGGAGCCUGAGAAACGGCUACCACAUCCAAGGAAGGCAGCAGGCGCGCAAAUUACCCAAAUCCCAACUCGGGGAGGUAGUGACAAGAAAUAACGAUGCUCCGGCCAUCGGUCGGGUAAUCGGAAUGAGGACAAUUUAAAUCCCUUAUCGAGGAUCAAUUGGAGGGCAAGUCUGGUGCCAGCAGCCGCGGUAAUUCCAGCUCCAAUAGCGUAUAUUUAAGUUGCUGCGGUUAAAAAGCUCGUAGUCGGAUUUCGGGUGGUGCCUACCGGUCCGCCUUUGGUGUGUACUGGUAGGCGCCACCUUUCUGCCGAGGACGGGUUCCUGGGCUUAACUGUCUGGGGCCCGGAGUCGGCGACGUCACUUUGAGUAAAUUAGGGUGUUUAAAGCAGGCUUAUGCUCUGUAUACACUAGCAUGGGAUGACACGAUAGGACUUCGGUCUAUCUUGUCGGUCUGUAGAUCGGAGUAAUGAUUAAGAGGGACAGUCGGGGGCAUUCGUAUUUCGUAGUCAGAGGUGAAAUUCUUGGAUUUACGGAAGACGAACUUCUGCGAAAGCAUUUGCCAAGGAUGUUUUCAUUGAUCAAGAACGAAAGUCGGGGGCUCGAAGACGAUUAGAUACCGUCGUAGUCUCGACCAUAAACGAUGC
rnacentral:rRNA from 1 species